GAGACCUCAGGUCAGGCGGGGCUACCCGCUGAGUUU
rnacentral:rRNA from 2 species